GAUGCAUGAGUGAAGCAUCACUCUUCCCUUAGGAAACUUCAGAAAUGGACUAUGACUUGUAGCCAGGUUUGGCUUCAUGGCUGGGCAGCCUAUACAGCCUCACAAAUCCCCAUGCUCAAAAGGGCCCUGCACUUGUUUGCUGUCCCUGUUUUGAAAAUCUUUAAUAACUUUUGAGGACAGGAACUCACUGUGUAGUGGGCCUGGCAAAUUUUGUAGGUGGUUCUUACCCAGGAGUCUUAUAAAGGCGAUGUCGAUACAACCAUUAGCGAUUAUUGAGUCAAAUUCUUUUCUUUUUUGUUGAGAAUAAGGAUAAAUAGCUAACGAUUUCCUCCCCUGUCACUGGGUGUACAUACAUGCACUAGUGAUCAAUGCUCUUGGCAUUGAUCAAAACUGGUUGGUGCUCUUGGAUAGGUUAAAGGGUGGAUAUGGUUGGGAUAUUAUUUCUUUCUAGAAUCUUUUCAAAUAAUAACAGUUGAAAAAAGUUGAAAACAUUUUGUCAUGCUCUACAUCUUUAUGGAAUCAAACCUAGUGAAGAGUGUGUUCAAGAGUGCUGUGAAGAGGAGUUCCCGUCGUGGCGCAGUGGUUAACGAAUUUGACUAGGAUCCAUGAGGUUGCGGGUUCAAUCCCUGUCCUCACUCAUUGGGUUAAGGAUCCGGUGUUGCCGUGAGCUGUGGUGUAGGUUGCAGACAUGGCUCGGAUCCCGCGUUGCUGUGGCUGUGAUGUGGUGUAGGCUACAGCUCCGAUUAGACCCCAAGCUUGGGAACCUCCACAUGCCACAAGUGCAGCCCUAGAAAAGACCAAAAAAAAAAAAAAAGUGCUGUGAAUAACUUCAUAUGAUUUAGUACUCAGCAUAUGCUCUAAACUUCAUACAUUAUACCUGAUCAACCAGCCAGAGGAAAAUGCUGUAGGUUGGCUAGAGGAAUGGAAAGCACGUGAAUUUUGGAGUCAAGAGAAGUGAGUUCAGAUUCCAGCCCUGCUAACUGCUGGCUUCGUAACUUUGUUAAUUAACCUCUUUAAAAGAGUUGUUUCUCUUUUGGAAAAUAGCUGUGUUAUACAUUUCACAAGCUUAUCGUCAGUUUUAAAUCAGAGAAAAUAUCUAAAGUUUCAAGUCUGCAGUAACUGUCUAGCAUGCACUAAACGUCUGACAAGAGCGGGCUGGAGUCCAUCCUUGCUUAAAACCUGCUUCUCCCGAGCUGUCUUUCACCUGGCUUCAUAACCAGCAGCUAUGCUCUUCACUGCCUUUUCACCGUGAUGGAAAAAAAGGAAAAUGACCACACCUUGGCUCCAGGCCUUGCAAACCAGAAUUGCCUUGCACAAGAGUGGUUUCUUAUUUUCUUCUAUUGCAUUCGAGACCGAUUCCAGUUUCUGUGAAGGAUGCUGUCUCAGCACAGACGCCAGCAGCCAGGGGCAGGGGCAGGGAGUAGGAACCUCAGCGAUAUAUCACCACUCAGAGACACCAAGGGGCAUGGCCCAGACCCUAGAGAGAACUCAGAGCUUUUUUCCUACCUACACAAACACAUUCAUAGCAGCCCCCAGAGAGCUGAGAGAACUCUGAAAGAAUACUCUGCAGUGAGAUGAUACCCUGAGAUACGACGGCUGCCUCAAACAAAGGCUAACCUGGAUGAAUCGCUUUCCUGCUCUGGUUCCUGAAAAUUGACUGAUAGAAACUCAAGGUAGAAGAAAAAAGAAUAAUAUAUUUUUGGUGCCUAGUUCUUUUACCAGCCAUGUGUAUAUGAUGGGCUUUAAAUCUCACAGCAUAGCUUUUCUGAUCCCCCACGUGAAGAAACUGAACAUCAGAAAUGUUUAAUUCUUAAGGUAACCUGACUAUCUAGGGUAGAAGCUGGAAUUGAACUCUUUGCUGCCUUUUUGGCAAUAACACACCAUGGCAGAGGGACCUUGGAAAAUGCAGUGCUGCCCUGUGGAGCUCAGCCUGCCCUGCUGGCGGCGUUUACACCCAUCAUUCUUUCCAGUGGAGAAGAUGAGAUCGGGACAGUCAGAGGUUUCACAUAUCAAAUGUGACUUCAGAUUCAAGUGCGUGUGUGCGUGCGUGUGUGUGUGUGUGAGUGUGAGUGAGAGAGAGUUUUAAUACCAGAACACAAGUUUACAUGAUUGUGGUUUUCAAAUAAAUCAUAUUUUGUCCAUAUAUUUCUGCCAGUAAUGUUCACUGUGUGAUGGGUAUUUUAAAAUACUCUUCUGGAAUUCGCUUGAGAAGAAAUUCACUAGCAGCUUCAACAGAAUUGCUAUUACUUAUAACAACCCUUAGUUUCUUACCAAACUGACUCAUGCAGCUUGAUCCCUAAUGACUUCUGGACGUUGUCCAGGGCAAGCCUGUCCUUAAAUAGUAAAGAUAAGCUAACUGUGAGAAUUACAUGAGGCUAAGUCAACAAACAUUUAUUACGCAACUACGACAUUCCAGGCACUGUUACAGGCAAUGGGAAUAUAGCCGUGAAUGAGACAGGGCUCUGUCCUCAUAGAAGUGACAUUCCGGUGAGGAGAUGCUUGUGGAAACAGUUUGUAACCCAUGAAGAAAUAGGUAUUCCCGAUAAUGACCAACAAUUUCUGAGGACAGUUUCAAUAGAGAAGUUUCAGAAACGUUUUGAGGUACAGGAGCAAAAGAUAUGAAUGGAAUCUCUUAGGAUGGUCUUAGGACAUUCUAUUUAAAGCAGUCAUCAAUCUGUGUGUGUGUGCGUGUGUGUCUAUCUUAAAAACUUGGUUGUAGUCCUUUAACUUCAGAUACUUUCUCUAUGUAAACAUGAGGGUGCUCUUCUUUGCUGUAAACUUAACUGCCUCUGGGAAAGUCCAAACCCAGAAAUGCGAACAGGUGACUGAAUGAUACUGAAUAAACGUCAAGAACCCAGACGGCAAAAAAUUUAAUCCAAACCUCAGAUGAAAUGUUAGGGGUCCUUGGCUGUAUCAGUGGUCACCGCCAUGUAUUACGAAUAGAAACCAGAUCUUUGAUAUUCAGUAGGCCAAAUAUCGGGUGAUUAACAGAACCAUUGAACAUAUUUCAAACGUGCUGAUGUGUGUAGACAUGCUCACUCACAGCUUUUGAAAGGAAAUGUAUCCUCUGCAUUCCAAUAGCCAUUCUAGCGAGAAAAGUAUUUAUAGGAAAAAUUACUCACUUAUGCCUAACAAGAAAAAGGAAACUCAUAAAAAAUUUAAAUACUGUGAUUUGCCACUUUUUAUAAUCACAGCAAGAAAGAACAUAUGCACACUUGGAAUUUAAUGACGAGUAUUUAAAAAAAAAAAAAAACCUGGAAGCUACAGAAAGCCACAGGAUUUAGCAAACCUUGUAUUUGAUAUGACAGAAACUCACUUAUGCACCUGGUCAAUUCUGUGCCUCUGUUUAGCUAUUAAAUACUUGCUGAAUUCAGUACCACUUUGCAGUGUAGCUGUAGAGCUCCCCCAAGAAAAGGCUCCACCCCCACCAUUUCUAACCACGCUUUCUCUGGUGUCCAGGCCCAGUACAUCUUUUUACAUCAGUGUGUUCUGGAUCUCUUAUCAAGUAAAGGAGGGAAUCCGCCCGUCUGCUUUGUGAACUACGCAGCACUUCAGAAGAUGGACUCUCUGGACGCCAUGGAAGGUGACGUUGAGCUCGAAUGGGAAGAAACCACCAUGUAAGCAUUCGGCCAGAGCUGCCACUGGAGGCACCUUCGAGUCCCAGGGCCCAAUCACCCUUCGCGCUUCUGAGUGGAAUUGUGCAACCUAAAAUAAAUCCCUGUGCUUCCCUCGCUGUGCCUUACUAAAUGGGUUGACAUGUUAUGAAGAGUUCUAGGAAAUAGCUCAUUCAGGAUGUUAUCCCCUUAUACAGAACACAUUUAAAAUGUUUAAGAGAAGACACCCCAGAGACUUUUGGAGCCUUGUGUAUUUUGGGAAUGAGCCAAAUAUGAAGUUAGGGUUAUAUUUACAUGAAUGUUUCCAUGUGCGUUGUCCCUACACUUCGGGUUCAGUUUUGACCAAAAGUUGUCAAUGUUGGCUCAGUCGUGUCAUUUUGGGCUCCAGGGUGUGGAUAUUCCUUUCGGAUCACUUCCAAGACUGUCAUAAUGAUCCGCACUUCCACGUAUGCGCCUGUGUUUUGAAUCCUCAGUUUUAUGAGUGCUGAGAUAGCAUCUCAUGAUCUCCAACAGCUGAACAGUAACCCCCUGACACUGCAGGGAUUACUUAGCCUUGAUACAACACACAGUAGCUCUUUGGGAAUACUUAGGGCUAUUUAGAUUGCAUUGUAAUCUCUAGCUUGGAAAAAAACAAAAGGAAAAGUUAAACAGUGCAGUUGCUUAUAUGAAGUUGCACUUUUCUAGCCUGUCCUCAUUUGUACAUUUUCAGGAACAAGCUGUACCCACUACCUUGUAUAUUUAAAUACACAGUUAAAUGUAUCAGUAUUUGUCCAUUUGAUAUAUAUUCAGCCUACUAACAGUCUGAAGAUUUUCUUCAGCAGAAAUGUAUGAAAACAGUAAUAAAAAUGUUGUGUUGCAAGUUUGUAAACUAAUGAUGUGCUCCUGUGGUGCCAACAGAGACUUCUGAAUAGAUUACAUAAAAUAGUCUUUAUGUCAUUUCCCAAGAUUGAUUUUUAAGGGGUGUAUUUGGUGGAACUGAGAACAAAGAAAUUAACCAGAUUGUAGCAACUUAGUGAUUUUUUUAAAAGAAAACAAAUUCACUCUCCUUUUUGUUAGAUACUAAGAAUGUACUAAGUUUUGAACUGCAAUGAAAUUAUUUUGGCAUAGAUUUCAAUUAAGGGUUAUAAGAUAGUAUUAAUCUAUUUCUUUUAUGCUGAAUUUAGCUUCUGCUUAUUUUUGCUGGAAUAUAUAAAAAAUAUGAUGGCCAAUAAAAUUGAAUUUUAAGGAAU
rnacentral:lncRNA from 1 species